rnacentral:snoRNA from 1 species
GGGCUAUGAUGUAGGCACUUCCUCAAUUGGCACUUGAAUCUCUCCCAAGCUUUAUACAAACUCUCUUGAUCAUGGUGGGCAAAAGUCAUUAUCUCAUUGCGAAGCUU